UACGUAGGGACCGAGCGUUGUCCGGAAUCAUUGGGCGUAAAGAGCGUGUAGGCGGCCAGAUAGGUCCGUUGUGAAAACUCGAGGCUCAACCUCGAGGCGCCGAUGGAAACCAUCUGGCUAGAGUCCGGAAGAGGAGAGUGGAAUUCCUGGUGUAGCGGUGAAAUGCGCAGAUAUCAGGAAGAACACCCGUGGCUAAGGCGGCUCUCUAGUACGGUACUGACGCUGAGACGCGAAAGCGUGGGGAGCGAACAGG
rnacentral:rRNA from 1 species